rnacentral:rRNA from 1 species
AACGAACGCUGGCGGCGUGCCUAACACAUGCAAGUCGUGCGAGAAAGUUCCUUCGGGAGCGAGUAAAGCGGCGCACGGGUGAGUAACACGUAGGUAACCUGCCCCCCAGUCUGGAACAACUAGAGGAAACUCUAGCUAAUGCCCCGGAUGAGACCACGAUCCCUUCGGGGGUUGCGGCCAAAGAUGGCCUCUACUUGUAAGCUAUCGCUGAGGGAUGGGCCUGCGGGCCAUUAGCUUGUUGGUGAGGUAACGGCUCACCAAGGCUGUGAUGGCUAGCUGGUCUGAGAGGAUGACCAGCCACACUGGGACUGAGACACGGCCCAGACUCCUACGGGAGCAGCAGUGGGAAUAUUGCGCAAUGGGCGAAAGCCUAGACGCAGCGACGCCGCGU